CGGCGGACGGCUGAGUAACACGUAGGAACGUACCCCAAAGUGAGGGAUAAGCACCAGAAAUGGUGUCUAAUACCGCAUGUGAUCUAUGGAUUAAAGCUUCGGCGCUUUGGGAACGGCCUGCGUAUGAUUAGUUUGUUGGUGAGGUAAUGGCUCACCAAGACUACGAUCAUUAGCUGGUCUGAGAGGAUGAUCAGCCAGACUGGGACUGAGACACGGCCCAGACUCCUACGGGAGGCAGCAGUAGGGAAUUUUCCACAAUGGGCGAAAGCCUGAUGGAGCAACGCCGCGUGCAGGAUGAACCCCCUCGGGGCGUAAACUGCUUUUAUGUGUGACGAAUAUGACGGUAGCACAUGAAUAAGGAUCGGCUAACUCCGUGCCAGCAGCCGCGGUCAUACGGAGGAUCCAAGCGUUAUCCGGAAUUACUGGGUGUAAAGAGUUC
rnacentral:rRNA from 1 species